UACGGAGGGUGCGAGCGUUGUCCGGAAUCACUGGGCGUAAAGGGCGCGUAGGCGGCUCAUGAAGGCUGUGGUGAAAGUCCGGGGCUCAACCUCGGAUCGGCCGUGGCGACUCGUGGGCUGGAGCACUGUAGAGGCGGGUGGAAUUCCGGGUGUAGCGGUGGAAUGCGUAGAGAUCCGGAAGAACACCAGUGGCGAAGGCGGCCCGCUGGGCAGUGGCUGACGCUGAAGCGCGAAAGCUAGGGGAGCAAACGGG
rnacentral:rRNA from 1 species